rnacentral:lncRNA from 1 species
AAUAAAAUGGCAAGGACUAUGUGGAACCAAACAGCAACUACUGGCUGUCUUCUUGUAGAAAACCCUUGCACUGCUCAAGCAUCUCUACUCUAUUCCUCCCUUUUCUUCAUGCCCCCUAAGUGAUAUUUAGGGGCAUCUGUACAUG